rnacentral:rRNA from 1 species
GAUCAACGCUGGCGGCGUGCCUAACGCAUGUAAGUCGAACGCAGCGCCUUCGGGCGCUGAGUGGCGAACGGCUGAGGAACACGUACGAACCUGCCCUCUCGUGGGGAAUAACGCCGCGAAAGCGGUGCUAAGACCGCGUACGCUGGGACCAAUGGUCUCAGGAAAGCCUUCGGGGCGCGGGAGGAGGGGCGUGCGGCCCAUCAGGUGGUUGGNGGGUAACGCCUACCAAGCCAAUGACGGANCUGGUCUGUGAGGACGAUCAGCCAGACUGGGACUGCGAAACGGCCCAGACACCUACGGGUGGCAGCAGCGAGGAAUCUUCCACAAUGGACGCAAGUCCGAUGGAGCAACGCCGCGUGGAGGACGAC